UGAGGAAUAUUGGGUCAAUGGGCGAGAGCCUGAACCAGCCAAGUAGCGUGCAGGAUGACGGCCCUAUGGGUUGUAAACUGCUUUUAUAAGGGAAUAAAGUGAGAGUCGUGACUCUUUUUGCAUGUACCUUAUGAAUAAGGACCGGCUAAUUCCGUGCCAGCAGCCGCGGUAAUACGGAAGGUCCGGGCGUUAUCCGGAUUUAGUUGGGUUUAAAGGGAGCGUAGGCCGGAGAUUAAGCGUGUUGUGAAAUGUAGACGCUCAACGUCUGCACUGCAGCGCGAACUGGUUUCC
rnacentral:rRNA from 1 species